rnacentral:pre_miRNA from 1 species
AGGAGCAACAGCCCCAGUGGCGGGGCCAGCUCUGGAAACCUGGAUUCAGCUCCGGCAGGAACUCUGGAGCUCUCCGUCUGCAGGGCCUGGAGGCUCCAGGGCGGG